rnacentral:rRNA from 1 species
GAGUUUGAUCUUGGCUCAGAUUGAACGCUGGCGGCAUGCCUUACACAUGCAAGUCGAACGGCAGCACGGGAGCUUGCUCCUGGUGGCGAGUGGCGAACGGGUGAGUAAUGCAUCGGAACGUAUCCUGGAGUGGGGGAUAACGUAGCGAAAGUUACGCUAAUACCGCAUAUUCUGUGAGCAGGAAAGCGGGGGACCUUCGGGCCUCGCGCUCUUGGAGCGGCCGAUGUCGGAUUAGCUAGUUGGUGAGGUAAAGGCUCACCAAGGCGACGAUCCGUAGCAGGUCUGAGAGGAUGAUCUGCCACACUGGAACUGAGACACGGUCCAGACUCCUACGGGAGGCAGCAGUGGGAAUUUGGACAAUGGGGCAACCCUGAUCCAGCCAUGCCGCGUGAGU